rnacentral:rRNA from 1 species
GACGAACGCUGGCGGCAAGCUUAACACAUGCAAGUCGAACGCCGUAGCAAUACGGAGUGGCAGACGGGUGAGUAACACGUGGGAACGUGCCUUUCGGUUCGGAACAACUGAGGGAAACUUCAGCUAAAACCGGAUACGCCCUUCGGGGGAAAGUUUACGCCGAAAGAUCGGCCCGCGUCAGAUUAGGUAGUUGGCGGGGUCAUGGCCCACCAAGCCGAUGAUCUGUAGCGGUUCUGAGAGGAAGGUCAGCCACACCAGGACUGAGACACGGCCCAGACUCCUACGGGAGGCAGCAGUGGGGAAUAUUGGACAAUGGGCGCAAGCCUGAUCCAGCUAUGCCGCGUGGAUGAAGAAGGCCUUCGGGUUGUAAAGUCCUUUCGGCGGGGAAGAUAAUGACGGUACCCGCAGAAGAAGCCCCGGCUAAUUUCGUGCCAGCCGCCGCAGUAAAAC